UCUUAUUCUUUCUGUAUAGCCACCACAGUGCAGUCCCUUGCCUCCAAACUGGAGCCUCCUCCCUGUCUCCAAACCCAUAUAACAGGGCACGCGGCGUACAGGAGACACAGGAGGGAGGAAGGAGAAGGGGAAGGCUGGGGAAGGCGUUUACACCUCGUAUCAUUGCUGCACGUGGGGCUCGUUCAGCAGCAUUUCUGAGCUCCUGCAUCAGCCCUUGCACAAGUGUGUCACCUCUCGCCUUCGGUGCUGCCGCUGCCCCCUCCACACCGCACCGCACUCAGCAUCGCCCCUGGCAGUGCCCUGCUGCUGGAGCCAAGCCCGAGAGAAGAACAAGAGGUCAGAAAGUGCAGAAGAACAGCAAGUGGUGCUGGUGCUCGGCUGCCGGAGCAUCUUCAGGAACAAGAUUUCAAGACAUUCAAAGCCACGGCAACAACAGCAGCACUGCCACCACUGCCACCAAACGUGCCAAGACAGAACAUUGCAAGAGCUGGCAGUAAGGCCACUUUUGGAGACCAGCCAAGACGCAGACACGGAACAGUUCCAGGCCUCCUAGUCAUUACAGGCUCGUCUGCUGCCCAGAGAUGCCUUUUGCACAAGUCUCGCUUUUCCCCAAAUGCAGAGUCUAGAAGAAAGAGGAACUUAAGAACCUUUAUUGGAGCUUGAUGCUAAACCACAAAUUCUUUCUGAACUGAGACUUAGUGUCACAUUUGCCCCAAGAACUGGGCCGUUGGGUUUGCAGAUGCCACUGAGACACUGUCUGAGAUCUCCUCUAGCUUCUGGGAUGUUGGUGUGUCCCAAACUUGGAGUGAACGCGGCACCAUUGGUAGCUCAAACCUCCUGACUUGAGGCAGGGAGGCAGCAUUAUGGAUGAGGGGGUUGUUGUUCAUUUCCCAGCUCUGCGUGCUGCUCCUGUGCUCUGUCAGUGCUGGAAGCUGACGUACACAAGCGCGGCUCUGCCCAUCUCGUAGGGCCAAGCAGGCCCAUAUUGCUCAAGCGGAUUGGUGCCAUGGUUUUGAAAUCCCAGCCCUGCAUCGCUCAGCACCACGGUGGGGAUGGAGUUGCUCACUUUUCCUCACAAAGCGAUGGACAAUGGAGUCCCCACCGCUGCGGCUACUCUCGGUGCUGGCAGCCACGGCAGCUCUUGGUCUCACUUAAGACACCUGGAUGCUUGAGGGAGGGGGCUCAGCCCCACGCUUGCAUUCCUAGAGGCAGCACUGGAGACUCAACCCGGCGGUGACGCUGCCUGCCACCGGUGUUGUUUUACGGGGCGCGUGGCAAACAACGCGCGCUGUUUGUCCUGGCCUCCUGCCCGGCGCCGCAGCCGGCCCCGCAGGAUGGAGACCCGCGCUCACCGCUGGGGCACGCAUCUCCUCCUCCCUGCUUCGAUUUCAGCGAAAGGCAGCCCCAAAAGGCCGAUUUUUGGGACCCCAUGCGGCGGGUGAGCAGGUGCUGGGGCUCCUGCGCAGCGUCAGCCGGCAAGUCAGACACUGCAAGAAGCACACUGCUCUCCUUCCUCCGUCUGCUGCUGCCGCAUGACUCAAUAUUUGCUCUGGUUACAGCUCUCUUCUUAUCAGAGCUUCCUACUGCUUCACCCCUCCGUUUCCCCCCUUCCUGACAGCCGUGGCUCAUCUCUUCCUGCCUCAUGGCGCCAGGCAAUGAGCACCCAACGCCGCCGAUCCCUGAGGAGUGCCCGUCCUGCCGGGGCGGCCGAGCCUGUCCCAGCACCCUGGGCAAAUCCGUCCAAAUAAAACCAAGGGAAAGGAAAAAA